AACGAACGCUGGCGGCAGGCUUAACACAUGCAAGUCGAACGCGAACGCACCUUCGGGUGUUAUUAGAGUGGCAGACGGGUGAGUAACGCGUGGGUAUCUACCUAGUGGUAAGGGAUAACUCAGGGAAACCUGGGCUAAUACCUUAUAAGCCCUUCGGGGGAAAGAUUUAUCGCCAUUAGAUGAGCCCGCGUCGGAUUAGCUAGUUGGUGGGUAAAAGCCUACCAAGGCGACGAUCCGUAGCUGGUCUGAGAGGAUGAUCAGCCACACUGGGACUGAGACACGGCCCAGACUCCUACGGGAGGCAGCAGUGGGGAAUAUUGGACAAUGGGCGCAAGCCUGAUCCAGCCAUGCCGCGUGAGUGAUGAAGGCCUUAGGGUUGUAAAACUCUUUCACCGGUGAAGAUAAUGACGGUAGCCGGAGAAGAAGCCCCGGCUAACUCCGUG
rnacentral:rRNA from 1 species